CCUACGGGUGGCAGCAGUGAGGAAUAUUGGGCAAUGGACGAAAGUCUGAACCAGCAAUGCCGCGUGCAGGAUGACGGCUCUAUGAGUUGUAAACUGCUUUUCUAUUAGGGUAAACACCCCUACGUGUAGGGGCUUGCAAGUAUAAUCCGAAUGAGAAUAGCCGAAGUCCGUGCCAACAGCCGCGGUAAUACGGAGGAGCCAAGCGUUAUCCGGAUUGAUUGGGGGUAAGGGGUGCGUAGGCGGUUUGAUAAGUUAGAUGUGAAAUACCGGUGCUCAACACCGGAACUGCAUAUAAUACUGUUGAACUAGAGAGUAGUGGAGGUAGGCGGAAUGUAUGGUGUAGCGGUGAAAUGCGUAGAGAUCAUAAAGAACACCGAUUGCGAAGGCAGCUUACUAAACUAUAUCUGACGUUGAGGCACGAAAGCGUGGGUAGCAAACAGGAUUAGAUACCCGAGUAGUC
rnacentral:rRNA from 1 species